UGGGAUAAAAAAGAAAUGAAAGCAAACUGCAAGCGCCACUGCAGCAAAAAAAAAAAAAGCAGAAAAAAAAAUUAAAUAAAAAAGAAUAAAAGAAAAGAGAAAGAGAUGGCGUGUGUGUGUGUAUGCAUGGCUCAUAAAAGGCCCAAAAGGAGAAAGCCUGCCCUAAGUUAAAGCUCCUUUGGCGUUAUUCCAGCUAAUAAUCGAAAUUUUCAGAUCCACAAAUCGCAUCCUCACCUCACAUAACAUUCGCUUUGGGAGUUAUUUUCAAUAACCGAGUGAUAAGCGCAAAGUUCUUAUUUAAAAUACGACAAAAAAAAAAAAAAAUCGAAAUCGAGCAUAGAGCGGCGGUGUGUGGCCACUACGACCUUUACUGACCUUCAAUAGCAUUCAUAGCCUGCCCGUUCCGCUCUCCCGUCCUCCCGUCCAUCCCUUGUCCUCCCCCCCCGCCCCGACCAAUGCCAAGCACUAAAAUGUUGCUCUAUUUGUAUGAAAAAAAAAAACGCAUUGGCAUAUUUUUGUUUGUUUAUGAAAAGUAUGUGCACAAAACUGCUGAUAACACACGUUAUGUGAGCUUUAAGAGAGCGCAACUAAGAGAGUAAGAGAGAGAGACCGUUAUGUUUUGUCAAAUGCAAAAGGGAGGGGAAACUUGGGGGGAGUGUGCUCCAUUUUGUUGUGAUUUCGCGCUUUGCGCUUUGUACCUGGCCCUACGUAGCGCCAUUAGGCGCCUUAUCAGCGUUAUCAGCCGGAGUGCUAUUUCCGCAUCUUUGGCCCAUUGAGAUUAGCAUUAAUGGGAUGGAAUGCAUUUCGCCUUGGCAUUUUCACACGCGUUCUGACGUCCAACGAUCAUGUUUGAUGCACACUCUAUACUACCAGCACAAGUCCGCCCAUAAUUGUAUACUAUACGCACCAUUCUAUAUAAUUUAUAGAUUCUGAUCUAUUUAUAACGCCCUGUGUAUACGUAUGGGUUGGAAUUAUGGCUGGCGACAGGCAUUAACAAGUUUCUGUUUUCGAAAAUACAAUUUUUCGAAAAGUUUUCCACGCCCGAGAACAUUCUUUGUGUCGCCCACUUUCAAAAAAAAAUUGGGCAGAGAAAGAAAUGUUUAUUUUGGGAAAAAUGUAAUUUUAAAAUUGAAUUUUUUAUAUUCUUUUUAUGAAAUUCCAUUAUCUCAAUUAUAGCUAUGAUUUGUGGUUUAAUAAACUGCAUUUUAAACAUGAUUUCCAACAAUUUCAGGCCCGAAAUGAUUUCAAAUUUGUCUCUGACUGUGUGGGAGAUACAAUGUCUGCCCAGAAAAGCCAUUAAAUCUGCACGGAUUUAUGCCCGCAUUAAUCAUCGACCACGGCAGCUGUGUGUGAUUGCCUUUUGCCUUGAGUUCUUAGCCCGCAGGGAUCUCCAGCAGCAGCAGCAGCAGCACCCCUGACAUCCCAUCCCUCCAUGUGAUUCAAUUUCUAAAAUUGCUGUCGGUGCCUGUACCAUGGGGAUCCAAUGCAUCGCCUACCAGCACCAGCAGACAGUCUCAUUUUAUUUCACUUCACAUUUGCGGGGCCUGCUAUUUUUAGUGGCCUGCUCUUUCGGAUACAGAACAGUAUCUAUAAGAUACUCGUAUACACAUCAUGCGGCCUGCUGCCGGCUAAAGAUUUCCCGCAGAACUUGUUCUGCGCCUUGCACUCGCCAAUUUGUGCGUUGGUGUCGCGCCUUGGUUCCCCAUUUUUUUUUCUUCUCUCCUUUCCUGCCACAUAAUGCAUUCCCCUACAGUCGAACUUCGAUAGGUCAGAUUGUCAAAAAAAAGAUACAUUUCAAGAUAAUGAUUUUUCUAGAUUUUAAGCAGUUUUCUAGUAUAUAUCUAUGAGAUGUAGACCUUUAUCUAUGAUUUUUACCAUCUAUGUUAAAAAUUGAAAGAAAUCUUGAAGCUAUAGCUAUUUUAAACUUAUUCCAAAUAUCUUUUAUAUGAAACAAUUUAUAGCCCACCAUAAAAUUCAAAAAUUCAUCAAAACUUUGACUGAAAGGGCUAUUAAAUCCCCUGGAUUAGAGUGUCCAAUGUCUCAUCACUACGCCGUUGACUAGAGAACUCUUCUUUUUAAACAAUAGAUAUAAGAACAGAAUGCCUCACGAUCUAGAAAUAGAAAUAUUUCGAAAAUUGAGAUUUAAAUUAGCGGUAGUGGACUGUUCAUACUUUGCGGGUAAUUUGCCGGCUGCAGACUGUUGGCGACACUUUAAUGGGGACCCUGACAAACGGGUUACCGGAUGCCCACACCCUCUCAAGGUCCCCACCCGACAUCCCUCCUCACUCAUCUGAUUGCCGAGCCCAUUCAUGGAUUGUCUGGCGGGUUAAUCUGAUCCGGGUCCACCACGCUCCAAUGGUUGCUCAUUGAAGUCACUUGACCCAGACCCGCAAAAAGCUCCAAGCCACGACCUUUUUCACGGCAUUGCUUUGGCGGGGCGCUUUAUCAGCUUUAUUGUGCUCGGGGCAUACGUGCAGGAGAGUGGACCUAAGCCAGGGCGCAAGCGCCGCUCGCAAAGAGAAGCCAGGAUUUAAGAGAGACCAGCAAAGCUUUCCCAUCGCUUGAUUCUAUCUCUUUGUACACUGCAAACAAGCUCAUGGGAUUUUCCCCACCAAAUUAGCUGUCACAUAUCUUGCUAAUUUAUUUAUUGUUAAGAUUCUCUAGUGCUAAGCAUAUUUUAAGGAAAAUGUCGCGAACGAUUGUCGUUUUGACAAUUUCAACAGUUGUUGAGAGGUUAUUUUUGGACCGAGUGUUGUUUAUUUUAUUUUAUUUCAAUCGCCACAAAAAAUUUAUGACGUCUAUUGUGUGAGAUUCCUUUUGAUCGUUUUCCACGCCAUAAGUUUUAUUGUUUUUAGUUUGUGAAAAUUGUAUUUAUUUUAUUGUCAUUUUUUGCACACAUCCGGCACAACGAUUCAUUUCACAUGUUCCAACCACCCACCCACACACACACCCACCCACCACAAUAGAAAAGAAAGCAUCUGUGAACUGAAGUCCGCAUAUCUUUCAUCCGCAAAACAAACACAAACACACACCACACACACACUAGCACACACAAGCAUUAGAGGUGUACAUAGAGGUGGAGGAUACAAAUGCAAUCUGAAUUCAAUCCGAACUCAAUCCCAAGCAAGAUCAGCCAAAGCUCAGCCUUAGCCCGCUGUGCAGCACCAGUAUCCAUCAGUAUGCGUAUCAGUAUCUGUAUCUGUAUCUGAGUGCGUGUCCAUAGCAGCCAGAAGGUAGUUGUUGUUAUCCACCUACUUGUUGUAUCCUUUGCUUUAAAAAAUACCUUUCAGUUCGCUUCUCUAAAACCAAAAACCAAACUCAACCAAAAACCAAACCAACCAUGUAUAGAGAACUCUAAUCUGAACCUUAACCCGACUAAAGUUCAACGAAAUGUAAAAAGAAUAUAUACAGACACACCCACACACAACCUUGUAUAUAUCUACAAAUUAUUACCCUCUGAUAUCGUAGCAUUAAUACCCCAAUAAUCAUUAUGUUCAAAAUUCACUUGUCAAUAAUCAAAAUUGGAAAUAAAAACAAAUCUUUAUGUUUAUCUCUAUCUUAACUCUAAUGAUUUUUUAAUUUUCCAUACCAACUACAACAAGAAUGCAUGGAUUACUAAGAUUAGGGGAACAUAUUUCAAAUAAUAGUUUAAAACAAAAAAAAAUAAAGAAUAGUUCGAGAAUAGAGAGUGCAACUGUUUUCAAUCUAAUCUAGUCUAAACUAAUUCCCCACCACCGUGCGAGGGAGGCAUCUGAUGCCCCCGAAAAUCUCAUAAUCGCCCCAUAAACAUAUAGCAUAUAGGAUAGAAGCCAGCGCCAUGAAUAAUUAUCUAUAGCUUUCGCUAAAAUAAAUGCCAACUACGCAGAAUUCUAAUUGCUCGUUUCGACUCGACUCGCCUGCCAAUUCUUUAUGAUUUUCAAUUUUCAUUUUUUUCCCCUGCUGUUGCCGUUUCUCUUUUUUGCAAAUUUUCCUCGUUUUUUUUGCUUUUUCGCUCUCUCUAACAAAGCAAAUGAAAUUUGGAUGCAUGUGGGUGCCGCGUGCCGCAUGUGGCGUGCCCCGCCCCACUUGCCCCUCGCUGACGCACACACCACCUACCUACCAGUACUGUACAUAUGUAUGUAUCUAUUGAAUUUCAUGCGGGAAACCCGACAGAUACUUGUUUAUUUAUAAUCUACACUAGUCGGCAUAUAUAUUUUGACAUAGCGAUGCUUCAUUUUCUUUUUCAAUUAUUUCUUUAUUUAAAGGAAAACAAUUAUUGAUUUAAUUUCAAAUAGAUAUUAGUAAUGUUUUAUUACCAAAAUAACAGUUUUAGGUUUUUUAUAAAUGUAUUUUGUAUUUAUUUUUUAAUUUAAACUAAAAUAAACUAAAUUCGAUAGGUGGCAUAAGUAUUUUGACAUAGCUUUGUUUCACAAUUAAAUAUAACAGAGUGCAACAGUGAUUCUGAACCUUUAUAGUGAAAUAGUAGGAAUUGUUUAACUGUUCGAGUAUUACACAAAACCGUGUAUAAAAAAUUGUU